rnacentral:tRNA from 7 species
GCGGCCAUGGUUUAGUGGCAGAACAUAUCCUUGCCAAGGAUAGGAUGGGGGUUCGAUUCCCCCUGGCCGCA